rnacentral:tRNA from 1 species
UAUUUAAUAGUGUAAAAAAGCACAAAGAUUUUUGAUAUCUUUAGAUAUAGUUUAAUUCUAUAAUAAAUAU